CUUGGCUCGAGAGGGAGAACGAGCCCUCGGAUCUGAAGCCUGGCGCCCCGCUCUCCGCGUCUCCGGCCGGCUCCGCGCCCCUCGCCUUCCCGGCCCGGGACUCACCGUUACACCACUGGAAUGGGUGCAUCAAUGAACUCUCGGCUGGCUUCCUCAGGCGAACGAACGCAGGCGGCGGGUCUGGCAGGCGGGGUGGGCGCGCCGGCUGGCGGGGUCGCAGGAGGGGCGGAUGAGGUGCGCGGUAGCCGCCUUCCUCUGCAAGUCGAACUCCCUCCGCAGCGGGGGGCUUCGGCGAGAACAUAUUCACUGAGAGCCUACUUUAUGCCAAGAACUGUUUCACUGGAGACCCAUCAAUGUCCUCAAGCCUGCUCUCCUGGGAUUUACAUUGCAUGAGGAGUUCCCCGACCAGGGAUUGAACCCGCCUGCUUGUCAAUGAAAGUGUGGAGUCCUAACCACUGGACCACCAGGGAAUUCCCUCAAAUCAUUUCAGUCUGGCCUUUGCUUGUCACCCUAAUGCCAAAUGCACCCUCUCCCUCUCCAUACACUUAAUCAGCCACGAAGCUUCUACUGUUGUUCCUUGAAUAUAUUCUUUCUUGACUGCGAUUUUGUCCAUGGAAGUGCUUAUGUUUGGAAUGCUCUUUUUCUUUCUCUGCCUGACAUUUGGUAAGAUUCGCUAAAAAUUCA